GGGAAUAUUUACUAUCAUCUCACACUAAACACUAACAGGAACAAUACUCUGCCCUGAAAAUGCUUAACAUGUAGCUUCAGAUUAAAAAUUAUGUGGUACAAGACAUGUAUGAUGUUGACAAGUGCGUGUCACGUGUGUGUGUGUGUGUGUGUGUGUUUGUGUGUGUGCGCGCGCGUGUGUGUUAAAGAGCAAGUAACGUCUAAAUUAACUUUUUUUUGCUGAUGAACUGUAUAAAUGAGUGUCUAAUAGUGUUUUAAAUGUGUGCAUUCUUUAUUUUAGCAUUUUGGUGCAUUUUCUUUAAAAAUUAAAAAUUCUGUCUAAAAACCACAGUAAUGCGCCACCUUCAGCUGAAAACAUAGAAUUUGAGUCAUUUUGAAUAAAUUUUAGCCAAUGGCUAAAGAGUAAAGUACUACGUAAACCAGUAGAGUACUACGUAGCAGCUCCGUGCCAAAGUUAUAAAAGCAACGAGCGUCUCGGCCACGCCCUGUGGCGAGUGGGAGUUGGAUUUGCAAGCGAGUGUAGGAGGUCAGCGGUAGUUCAGCAUUAGCAUAUAGCAUUAGCAUAUCCUAGUCUUUAGCAUAUCUUUUAGUGUUAUAAAUACUUAUUUAGUGUUAGCUUGGCUGUUGUAUAUUAUAGUUUAGUUAGUGUUUGGCUGUUAGUGUAAUUGGGAAAGUAUUUCGGGUUUAGUGUUCCAUAUCGUCUUAGUAUUGGUGAGUAGGUGUAGUGUAGUAUGGUUGCGGUGACUCUGUGGGCAUUUUACCCGCGAUUCUGCACGUCUCCGUUUGAAGAGGGAGGCUGUGCCCACCGUGGCUCUUCCUUGAUUUAGAUGCAGCCCACCGACUCUGCUCCCCCACCACGGCGGGCUCCAGUCUGAGGUGAGUAAGCUAAGUAAACGUUUUAACAUCUUCUAAAGACAAUUCCCUACCUAAAUGCAAAGUCUGAGAGACGUGGUUCACUUCCUUUAGCUAGUCAGUCGGCAAUUCUGCAACAGUGACUCUAACUGACGCAGCACUUGUUGACAGCAUUACAGCGUGAAAUCCAGCUUGUGACCCGGUUCUGUGAGGAAUUCUGUUCAGGAGGUCGCAUUUCAGGCUCUCCACAUCAUAUGUGACUGACUUUUACGUUAUAACGAUCACACACUAGGAAUGUUAUAAAGCGCCUAUAUAGGAGAUUCUUUUGUAUAUUAUCUGACUAUAAACUCCAACAACAAUGUGCUUCUAUUUUUUUUUUCAGGCUAAAUCUACCCAAGACACUGGCUGUCAGACUGAUUUAGCUGCAUGAAUGUACUUGUCCAGGCUGAUGUGAAACCUUCCCUGUAGCAAAGCCAGCCAGAAUGGAGUUCACAGCCGCAGUGUGUCUGGUGACCCACGGGGACCAUGAUGAAAAUUCAUCUUCCAGAAGGUCCCAGAGCGUCCAGACCCCCUGAAAAGACCAAGGUGUGAGGUGUCUGCUGUUGAUUCCAGCUUCCACCUCAGUGACAGUGCAAGCUCAGUGAACUGUUCAAGGUAAAAAAAAAAUUAAAACAUUUCAGAAUUUUUAAGAUAUUAACAAUUAAAUAAGUAUGUGAUUACAUCAUGACGGAGGCUACUGAUUCUGCCCGUGACACUUGGUGGUGACGUGUAAGCUGAUUCUCCUGGAAAAUAACUUUUACAUUAAAUAUUUUGUUUUUGCUAUCAAAAGUAAAUUAACUAAUAACCUGCAUUAUUGCAGGACAUUCAGCAAAAUAUGGACUACACCAUGAGGCAUGCACACAUUAAUAUUCUAUAAGAGCACAUAAGGUGAGCAACACCACAUAUUGUACACUGUCCUGAAUUUGUUUUCUUUCUGCAUCUCAUUAGCCUGGCUGAUCACCUGAUAACUCCUGUCAUCUGGUUGUGACAGCAUGAGGAUGUCCUCACACACCUGUAACCUAUCAGCUCAUCUGGCAGAAUAGAGAGAGAAGAGCCAACACCACAUCUCCUGUUCCUGGAAAGCCUUCAGCCUUCCUUCGAUGACUGAGAACCUCCAUCAGCUCUGUCUCCUGUCUGCCUACAAUUAUUAUAAUAAAUAUUGUGUUUGACAA